GACGAACGCUGGCGGCGUGCUUAACACAUGCAAGUCGAACGGUAAGGCCCUAGCUUGCUGGGGUUCACGAGUGGCGAACGGGUGAGUAACACGUGGGUAACCUGCCCUACACUUUGGGAUAAGCUAAGGAAACUGGGGCUAAUACCGGAUAGGACCCCACCGUGGGGGGAAGGCGGAGGAUCUUGCGGGGUGGGGUGGGUGGACGGGCGAUUAGCUUGUUGGUGGGUUAGUGGCCUACCAACCCAGCGACGGGUCGCCGGCCUGCGAGGGUGGACGGCCACCUUGCGCCUGAGAGACGGCCCAGACUCCUACGGGAGGCAGCAGUGGGGAAUAUUGCACAAUGGGCGGAAGCCUGAUGCAGCGACGCCGCGUGGGGGAUGACGGCCUUCGGGUUGUAAACUCCUUUCGCCAUAGACGAAGCUUUUCUGACGGUAGAUGGAGAAGAAGCACCGGCUAACUACGUG
rnacentral:rRNA from 1 species